rnacentral:rRNA from 1 species
AUACGUAGGGUGCAAGCGUUAAUCGGAAUUACUGGGCGUAAAGCGUGCGCAGGCGGUUUUGUAAGACAGUGGUGAAAUCCCCGGGCUCAACCUGGGAACUGCAAUUGUGACUGCAAGGCUGGAGUGCGGCAGAGGGGGAUGGAAUUCCGCGUGUAGCAGUGAAAUGCGUAGAUAUGCGGAGGAACACCGAUGGCGAAGGCAAUCCCCUGGGCCUGUACUGACGCUCAUGCACGAAAGCGUGGGGAGCAAACAGUAUGAGAGACCCUGGUAGUCCACGCCCUAAACGAUGUCAACUGGUUGUUGGGUCUUAACUGACUCAGUAACGAAGCUAACGCGUGAAGUUGACCGCCUGGGGAGUACGGCCGCAAGGUUGAAACUCAAAUGAAUUGACGGGG